rnacentral:lncRNA from 1 species
CCUUGUAGUCUUUGCUCUAUUCCCGUUACACGACAAUGAGCAAAGAGGGGCAGCUGUAAUAAGGCCCAAUCGGCUUGGGUCCAAACUAAACAAAAACAUGUCAGACCCAACAAAACUAACCUAAGCCCAAUACAGACCUCAACCCAAAACUAAAAAACAAAAAAGAAAACCCUAGCAGCAGGUAGCGCUGCAGCCCCCGCCUCCAGCAAAGCC